UACGAAGGGGGCUAGCGUUGCUCGGAAUUACUGGGCGUAAAGGGCGCGUAGGCGGACAGCUUAGUCAGAGGUGAAAGCCCAGGGCUCAACCUUGGAACUGCCUUUGAUACUGACUGUCUUGAGUUCGGGAGAGGUGAGUGGAAUGCCGAGUGUAGAGGUGAAAUUCGUAGAUAUUCGGCGGAACACCAGUGGCGAAGGCGACUAACUGGACAUGUAUUGACGCUGAGGUGCGAAAGCGUGGGGAGCAAACAGG
rnacentral:rRNA from 1 species